GACGAACGCUGGCGGCGUGCUUAACACAUGCAAGUCGAACGGAAAGGCCCUGCUUUUGUGGGGUGCUCGAGUGGCGAGCGGGUGAGUAACACGUGAGUAACCUGCCCUUGACUUUGGGAUAACUUCAGGAAACUGGGGCUAAUACCGGAUAGGAGCUCCUGCUGCAUGGUGGGGGUUGGAAAGUUUCGGCGGUUGGGGAUGGACUCGCGGCUUAUCAGCUUGUUGGUGGGGUAGUGGCUUACCAAGGCUUUGACGGGUAGCCGGCCUGAGAGGGUGACCGGCCACAUUGGGACUGAGAUACGGCCCAGACUCCUACGGGAGGCAGCGGUGGGGAAUAUUGCACAAUGGGCGGAAGCCUGAUGCAGCAACGCCGCGUGCGGGAUGACGGCCUUCGGGUUGUAAACCGCUUUCGCCUGUGACGAAGCGUGAGUGACGGUAAUGGGUAAAGAAGCACCGGCUAACUACGUG
rnacentral:rRNA from 1 species